rnacentral:lncRNA from 1 species
GCCAAAGAUAGCGUGCUGUUGAAGUACUGCUCCUCCACGGUCCAGGCAGUGUCAUUGAUCUUGUUUGACACCCCACAGAAUCCAACGCAGCUCACCUUGAUGGCUCGGUACUGCAGCGAGCCCGAAAGCCGCACGGUGACGGUGCCGGCCAGCGGCUCGCCGGGGCUGUAGAUGACGCGGCUCUCUCCCAGGCGGAUCUCGAACAGCUGCACCUUCCCCAUGGCCGCGCCGGCCCGUUCCUCCCCGCUGCUACCUGCCCUGCCGCUCCGCUCCGCACCGCGCCGUACCGUGCCGCUCCGCGCCGGC